rnacentral:rRNA from 1 species
AUUGAACGCUAGCGGGAUGCCUUACACAUGCAAGUCGAACGGAGUGGCGAACGGGUGAGUAAUGUAUCGGAACGUGCCCAGUAGCGGGGGAUAACUACGCGAAAGCGUAGCUAAUACCGCAUACUAUUGGAGCGGCCGAUAUCGGAUUAGCUAGUUGGUGGGUUAACGGCUCACCAAGGCGACGAUCCGUAGCUGGUUUGAGAGGACGACCAGCCACAAUGGGACGUGGAAACGGCCCAGACUCCUACGGGAGGCAGCAGUGGGGAGUUUUGGAUAAUGGGGGAAGCCCUGAUCCAGCCAUCCCGAGUGUGCGAUGAAGGCCUUCGGGUUGUAAAGCACGUUAAGUUGGGAGGCGUUACCAACAGAAUAAGCACCGGCUAACUUCGUGCCAGCAGCGGCGGUAAUAC